GGUCGUGUAGCUCAGAGGAUAGAGUACGUGCCUUCUAAGCAUGUGGUCGCAGGUUCGAUUCCUGCCACGAUCG
rnacentral:tRNA from 1 species